GAAAACGUAGAAUUCAGGCUAAGGGAGAGGAUGUAGUAAACACUCAGAGAAAACGAGGUUGAAAAACCAAAUGCUGGGGAGGAGCCAAGAUGGCCGAGUAGGAACAGCUCCGGUCUACAGCUCCCAGCGUGAGCGACGCAGAAGACGGGUGAUUUCUGCAUUUCCAUCUGAGGUACCGGGUUCAUCUCACUAGGGAGCGCCAGACAGUGGGCGCAGUUCUGGAAGUUGGAAGUACAAGAUCAGAUUGCCAGCAUCAUCAGGUACUCAUGAGGGCCGUCUUCCAGCUUGCAGACUGCCAACUUCUCAUUGUGUCCUCAGAUUUGAUAUCAAAGUAAUGUCAAGUGCUUCUGACCCACUGCAUUAAACGUGUGCUGAGCAGUUGGUGGUAGAAGACAUUAUUGUGAAGGCUGCUCACCACCAAUUUCAUCACUGUUGCUAACUCCAGCUCAUCUAAUCUCUGCAACAUCUGCUACCAGCACCUUCUCUUGCCUCCUUUUGUGAACAUAGUUUUUUCUUCUGGUUAGAAAAUCAGUUCGAACUUCUUGAGUUUUGUGUUUUAAACUCUUCUCAACUGUUCCGAUGAUUGAUGGAUGGCCCAGAGGCGACCUCUUUAUCUCCAGCAACAUAUUUGGCUGUUGGCCCGGUAGAGAGGUACUCCAGAAGCUUGCUGGUUCAUCAUGCUCUCAUCUUUAACCACAACUAUUUAUCUGACUCCUUCCAUCUCCACAGCACUGUGUGAGGGAUCAGUGAUAAGAGACGGUGAAAGACAUGCGCAAAUGGAUAAAUAAUAAGCAGGAUAUGUAGAAUGACACAACAAUUGAUGAGUAAUUUAGGAGAUCCAAUAACUAAAAAAAAAAAGACUGGGGACAAGUUCAUGGAAAGAGUAAUCAACUAAGCCUUAUAACAUAAAAUUGACAAAUAGAGAAGGCAUGCAAUCCAGUAGAAUAGAGUGCAAAAGAGGUAGAAGACUAAUCGUUUCAAGACAUGUUGAGCCACAACAGCAAUAACAUUGUGACAAAAAACGUCGGUGUAGACUGCAGAAGAUCUUCAAUGACGGAUCAAGCUGUAUAGACUUUUUUUUACCCUCAUAUACUGAAUAGUCAUUUAAGGUAUACAGUGCCAACGUAAGAGAGAAAGGUAAACUUUUUUUAACACAAGUUGUAGGCCUUGGAAAGAAGUUUUCCAGUAACAAGAUAACACGAUAAUGUACUGUGGUUAUAAGCUCAAAGUGGUAUAUUUGAUUCAGUGUUCCCAGAACCACCAAAACCUUGGAACCAUUGUUUAGCUAAAGCUACUAGAACAACAGAAUAACCUACUCUGUGGCAUUGUAAAGUAAAAUUAUACUACACACAAAUACUUGACAUAAAAUACAUUUCCAAACUCAAUUAUUAGGGAUAACAUAAGCACAAAAUGAUGCUUUGCAAACAUCAUGUAUCCUAUAACUGGAGAAAAAAAAUUAAUGACAUGAAGUGAAAUGACUGAGUUCUGAAGCUACAUCUCAAUUUAAAUAGCAUAAGCAAUUUAGUAUACAACAUUCUUCAAAAUCAAUUGUUGAAGGUUAACUAUAAUCUACAUACAAAAACAACUUUGUCAACUUUUUGUACGGAUUUUCCUUCUAAACAUAUUUACUUUAUGUGUAAAAUCAAAAAAUUUCCUGAGUUAAAGGCUAAGACUUGACUUUAUGAAUACAUGCCCAAAAAUUGGUGGUGGCUGGUUUCUGUUUUUAUUUUGUAAGCUUAGUAUAAUGGUUGUCCAGAACUUGUAAGCAAUGACCUCAUUUCUAAGCGGACAAGAUGCAAAAGACCAUUUUUACAGAUUAACCAUCUGGUUCCUUUAGGAAGAGUAAUAUUUCAACAGGUUCCUGUAUUUCAAGAAUAUAAAUAAUUAAAAAGAUGAAGAUAUGUGAAAUACACAAAGAAAAAAAUAGAGAAAAUAGCAUUUAAAGCAAAUUAUCCUAGCUCCCUCAAUUAAUAUUUUAAAACCAUGACAAUCAGUUAUUAAUAUAAAUUGUUAAUUUUAUUUAAUACAACAUCAAUAUAAUUCAUACCAUCUUCUUCAACUAGGUGGUCUAUCAUUUUGGAGUUUCUUUCCACCUCUGGAGAAUUGCUCAGGAAAUCUGGCUAACAUACCAAAUAAAUCAAAUGGAUUUAAUGAGAUGGUUUUUGGCUAGUUUCUAUAUUCUUGUAUACACAUGCAUGUAACACAUAAAUGUGGUGCUGUUCACAGUUAGAGGCGCAAGAGAAAAAAGUAGCUUUCCAGUGUUAUUUCAUUGUUAUUAACUAUACAGUAUUCAGGUGCAAACAAAUGAAAAUCCUGUAUAUUCACGCUAAAAUAUAAUAUGUAUCAAAAUAAGCAUAAAAUAACUGUUUUGGAUAGGUCUUAGGAUGCUGCUGUGGCUUAAUUUGCUCUGUUUAUGUUCUCUCCGCUUUUCUUUAUUGCAUGUGCUAGUUUUGAUGUGUUGUUUGACUAAUAUGUCAUACGGUGAAUUUACUGAGGUCUAUAACAAAAGGCAUGGAUCCAUACACUGGACACAACCUUGAGGGCAUAAGGGAAAAAAAAAAGAAACUAAGUACCAUAGAACAGCCUCAACAAAAUCAGAGCAUGCUUUACACGUGAUUUUCAGUUACACCCUGCUUGUCAUUUGUGAUUACUCAAAACAAUAAUUAAAUUACGUCCUCCAGGAAACAGGAAGGAGUGGAUAACCAAAAUACAUGAAAAGCCCCUACAGUCCCUGUUUGUUCAGAGUAUAGAUCAGCAUUCUUUAGGAGUUCCAUUCUUUUAUUACAGGAAUGAAUAUUGGGUUGAACACGCUUAUAUGCAUUUAGAGGUAAUGUGAUGUAUGAAAACAAGUACUGCAGAGGUUUCCUCUGUAGAACUGUACUUUUAAGAGGAGCAGCCACCAUAAUCUUCUUGUAAAGGUAAACUGGAUCAUGUCAUUUUCAAAUAAAGUCUUCUCUCACUUCAUUUUCCCCUUAAAACAAUAUAUAAAUGAUAAUAGUAGCAACGGUAACAGUAGAAGUGGUAAACUCAACAUAAAAAGCCUACAAGGCUCUUUCCUUGUCUCUUGCUACUCCCACUUCCACUCCAUUUGCAUCUCCAACCACAGAUGCUUUCUUUCUGUGCCCCAAUGAAGCUCUUUAUGUGCCUUUCACAUACUGUUACUUCUGGUUUGUUCUUUAAAUAGAUAAUUAUUUAUUGCCCUUAAAGACUUAAGUUAAAUACCACAUCUGCCAAGAGAUUUCACUUACUGCCUUCCACUCCCAAUCUAAGUCACUUUCUCUGGCUCUCUUAUAUAAGCACAGUUAUGUUUUCCUUAGAAUAUUCAUCACAAUUUGACAUUUUAAUUUGCAUUCAUUUACUUUUUAUCCCCAACUGGACAAUAUGCUCCUUGGAAAUAGGAAAUCAU
rnacentral:lncRNA from 1 species